rnacentral:rRNA from 1 species
AACGAACGCUGGCGGCAUGCCUAACACAUGCAAGUCGAACGAGACCUUCGGGUCUAGUGGCGCACGGGUGCGUAACGCGUGGGAACCUGCCCUUAGGUUCGGAAUAGCUCCCCGAAAGGGGUGCUAAUACCGGAUAAUGUCUUCGGACCAAAGAUUUAUCGCCUUUGGAUGGGCCCGCGUUGGAUUAGCUAGUUGGUAGGGUAAAAGCCUACCAAGGCGACGAUCCAUAGCUGGUCUGAGAGGAUGUUCAGCCACACUGGGACUGAGACACGGCCCAGACUCCUACGGGAGGCAGCAGUGGGGAAUAUUGGACAAUGGGCGAAAGCCUGAUCCAGCAAUGCCGCGUGAGUGAUGAAGGCCUUAGGGUUGUAAAGCUCUUUUACCCGGGAUGAUAAUGACAGUACCGGGAGAAUAAGCUCCGGCUAACUCCGUG